GACACACACACACACACAGACAGGUAGACACACACACACACAGACAGGUAGACACACACACACACAGACAGGUAGACACACACACACACACAGACAGGUAGACACACACACACACACACAGACAGACACACACACACACACACACACAGACACAGACACACACACACACACACACACACACACACACACACAGACAGGUAGACACACACACACACAGACAGGUAGACACACACACACACACACAGACAGGUAGACACACACACACACAGACAGGUAGACACACACACACACACAGACAGGUAGACACACACACACACAGACAGGUAGACACACACACACAGACAGGUAGACACACACACACACACAGACACACA
ensembl:lncRNA